AGUCUGGAGGUGAUUGCAGAAGGAGGAGCAGCUCCCUUUGUAGUCUCUUCAGGCAGUUGUUGUGUCUCUUCAGCGUUUGUUGGGUUCACAACCUAUUUAAAAGCCAGCUGGUCUUCGCCCUCCCAGACAAGUCAGCUCAAGGGAGGCGGUGGGGUGUGGGCCUUGGCCUGAGCGCCACCCAGGGCUGAGCUGUGGGGCAGGCAGGAGAGCAGCAGACAAGACCAUCUCUGCAAGUGCAGUGAAGCCCUGGCCUAGAGCAGCAGGUGUGAGAGGCCAAACCUGCAAGCUAAGGCACAGGUAGUAGCAGAGAGGAGUAGAGGCGCCCCAUGGGGAACACACUGAACUGUUGUGUGUGCCCCAAGUGGGGCUGGCACCGGGGACGUGUGUGGCCCUGUGAGCCUGAGAUCUGUGAGGCAGCAACUGGGAACACAACGCCAGUAGCACCAGUGCCUGUUGUUGUAGAGCCUACUGAAUUUGCUUUUGAAGCUGUUGAGAGCCUCCAUGUACACCACAUCCAUGACCGAGAGAUUCCAGAAGAUAGAGCUUUGGAGCCAAACCCUUCUGAUGAUCCAAGGGAAAGCACAAUCUUCUUGCAAAAAUCUCAAACAGAUGUUCAAGAAAAGAGAAAGAGCAACCACAUGAACCAUGUAUCUACUAAGCAUUUUACUAAAAAGUACAGCUCGUGUUCAACCAUAUACCUAGAUGACAGCACAGCCAGCCAGCCUCAUCUUACAAUCAUAGUAAAAUCUGUGGCCUUAGCAAUAUAUUAUCACAUGAAGAAAAGAGAUGCAGAUAAAUCCCUCGAUAUGUUUGACGAGCAAGUACAUCCACUCACUCAAGAAAAGAUGCCAAAGGAAUACUUUGAGUAUGUUCCUGAACACAAGUUUAUUUACAGAUUUGUCCAUGUUCUUUUUAAAGCCACAAACCUAACAGCUGAAUUUGCAAUAGUAACUUUGAUUUACAUAGAAAGACUCUUAAGUUAUGCAGAGAUAGACCUUUGCCCGACCAACUGGAAGAGGAUUGUCAUGGGAGCCAUUCUUCUCACCUCCAAAGUUUGGAAAGAUGUGACUAUAUGGAAUAGGGAAUACUGCAGGCUCUUUGUGAACACUAGCAUUGAAGACAUGAAUGAGCUUGAAAGACAGUUUUUGCAGCUAAUUGACUAUAACGUCAAAGUUUCUGGAAGUGUUUAUGCCAAGUACUAUUUUGAUCUUCGAUCCUUGGCAAAGGACAGUAGCUUGCAUUUGCCAGUUUAUCUUCUCAACAAAGAAAGGGCACAGAACCUGGAAGCUAUUUCAAGGAUGGAAGACGCCAAAAUCUUUUAUAGUGCUACCAUGAGAAGGUCCUUCAGCGCUGAUAAUUUCAUUAAUCUUCAGUGCUCUAAAGCCAUUAUCUCUUGAAGGAAGAAAUGAGGGGCUAUAUCAUCUGAACCCCUCAUCAAAAAAGACCGGAAAAUAUUACCUCUCCUGCUCAACAACUAGAAAAGUUAGUAUUUUCAAAAGAAGAAAGAUCUCAAAGUUGAGAGGCUUGUGGACAACCAGGAUUGCACUCCACAGGAAAAAAAUGGGAUCUUUGCACUGCAACAACUCUUGUACACUCUUCUGUCUUUUUAAACGUAAACAGUAUUGCUGCAGAUGCAUUUAAAAUAAAUGCAGUAUUACUAUUAAAACAUGGGACUGUAACAACUCAUGAAGCCACUAGAAGCAGACUGCUCAUUUUCAGGUGUUGAAGGGUUCUUCCUGCCUACUUUUACCAUCGGAGCUGCUCGUCACUGGCAAUCAUUUUAAACAUAAGCUGAUGGAGGACAUUUGCCAUUCAUAUCUUUUGAUUGCAGUAGAAACCAGCCGAGAAAAAAGAUGCCAGAGUUCUUGGAAAAAUGAAGAGAAGAUUUGGACAUGACACACACAGAGGGAAUCCCACAGGGAGAAGAUGGCUGUCUGCAAUUCAGAAGAGCAGCCUCAGAAGAAACCAACCUGCCAACAUCUUUAUUUGCGACUUCCAGCCUCCUAAACUGUGAGAAAAUUAAUUUCUGUUGUUUAAGCAUCCAGAAUGUGAGACUUCAUUAUAGCAGCCCUAGCAAAUUAAUACAGGCAGCAAACAACCAGAUGUCCCACUUGAAAAACUCAUCCAAGAAAUAGAAAAAUAAAUGUUGUGGGAAUGAUGUUUGAUGGCAGGGUUUUAUUCUGCAGUUGCCUACGGGAAUGACAACAGAAGACUGUAAGACAGUGUAUUUCAAAAUGAGCUCUGCAGAAAACCAGUAUGAAAGACUCUGAAAAAAUUGAAAUAAUAAAUUUUCAAGAACACU